AUCGCUGCUAGUCCAGAUAGAAAAUAAAAUACCGUCACACUCAAAAGGUAGGUUGCCAAAGGUAAGUGCCUGGCAGCGUAGCAAAUUCAAAGUUGGGCCCAACACUGGAGUGCCGAGUGCCGUGGAGGAGAAGGAACAGUCGCAAUCGAAGGACCUAGACUGCAUAGCCUAUGCAGAACCACGUCACCAGUCUGAAAAAUAUUUACUCACAAGUGUAAACGGCAAAAGAGGUUGCCGAUUACAUUUUCAAGUCACCCGUAUAAAAGGCGAAAGGUUGUUGUUUUUCAGUGCAGUCAUAAUGUUCAUAGCUAUGGAGCUGCUUCUAUGGCGCGAUCUUCUAAAGCCCCAUCCUUCGUCUCCAUCCGCGGAGCUUUCGCUUGUACGGAUAAGUGGGUUCGAAAUACCAUUGCAGGCCCUUGCUGCCGCUGGUUCAUAUUGUCCUUCAGUAUAUAAAUAUUUAUCUAUUGAGAUAUUGAGUGUCUGUCACAGCCCAACUCAGAAUGCUCUCCAUUCUUAUAUGCUUUCUCUUUUUCGAAUUCCCCACCCAAAUGGAUUGCUCUUAAAUGUGCAUCUACAUAUGUAUGUCUGUGCAUAUUUAUCAUGACUUCGAUUAUGUGGAUCACUGUCAUGCUAUUUAAUUCAUCUAAGAAAUCACUGAAUCGGAAACACAUGUAUCAUAAUUUUCUGAUUUUUUAGACCAGCACUACGAAUAGUUCUUUGCCUAUUACUCAACCCGCCUGGUACUUCUGCAAGCGUCCUGUGAAAGGAACUGACUAGAGGCCGUUGGGAUAGCGUGCCCUGAGGGCCUUCAUAGACGUCAGGACCCGUAGUGGCCUUUAGUAUGUAGAUUGUUCGAACGGCCAACAGCUACUUAAACAACUUGAGAGCUGACUGAAUAUCUCAAUAUAUAAAUAAUACAUACUGAAGGCCAAUAUGCACCAGCGAUAGCCAGGGCCAGCGAUGGUAUUUAGACGCUACAUAUCCGUGCAAGCGAAAGAAUCGCAGAUGGAGACAAAGUAUGGGGCUUUCCAAGAAUCAAUAAAGAAGCUCCUUAACUGUGAACAUCUUGACUGAAAAACGGCACAUUUUUUCCUUUAAUUCGGGCUGACUGGGUUAG
rnacentral:sRNA from 1 species